CCGCCAGAGUAUUACGAGCAAUAGCUUAAAACUCAAAGGACUUGGCGGUGCCUAAACCCCUCCAGAGGAGCCUGUUCUAUAAUCGAUAACCCACGCUUAACCUCACCACCAUUUGACAACCCAGCCUAUAUACCACCGUCACUAGCCUACCUUAUGAAAGAACUAUAGCAAGCAAAAUUGAAAUUGCCAAAUACGUCAGGUCAAGGUGUAGCACAUAUGGUGGAAAGAAAUGGGCUACAUUUUCUUACAAAGAUCAUACGAAUGAUAUAAUGAAAUCACACCUGAAGGCGGAUUUGGCAGUAAGAACGGAUAAUAAUGCCACUCUUAACAUUGGCCCUGGGGCGCGC
rnacentral:rRNA from 1 species